CACUCACGAAGGGAGGUUAUUAAAAAGAGCAGAGAAACAUGCUUUCCCUCCCUCACUGCGUCAGCCAGGCUGUGAACCCCUGCUUCAAAAUGGUGCUCUGCGUGGUAUGGACACGAGAGGGCGCUGCAGACUCGGCUGGGGCGUUCAAGCCCCAUGUCCCGCCUCUUUCUGUGCGGCCGCCAGCCUCUUGGCCACUCUAAGGCCACUAGACGUCGCCAUUCUGGACAGCCAUCGUGGACGGAGACCGGGGCAGUGCCGGCCUAGCAUCGCAGUGCUCAGCUCGCAGGUGACUUGCCUGCACAAGGGAUCAGAAUAGUUGGGCUCCACGCUCGAGGUUCACUCCUUUGAGUCAGGGCAGCGCACUUGUCCAAGAAGUCACCCGUCGCGUCCUUCGUGUAUGCACCCACUGGGGGCCAUCUUGAAUCCCAGCCGUCUUUUAUAAAUCCGAAGGGAUGCAGGGUGCCACCUGCAUCCCUUGAAGUCGAGCCCACUCUAUCCGUGGUCCCUGGCACCCAACACCACCACUGGGCGUCGCUUUGGAGAUGAGGAGGAGCACCGCGCCCCCCUUCGCCAAGUCCUCCCCCGACCCGGGCUAAUGACCGGGCGGGAGGCUGUAAUGAGCGUCUGGGUUGGGGACGGGCGGGGCGUGGCCCGGGAUGAAAGGCGCGUGUGUGGGGGGCACCCCGGGGCCACGUAAUUACCGCCCCCUUCUUAGCCGGGCGGGGGCCAGGGCCACUGCACCUGGCCUCUGCCCGGCGGGGGUGCACAAGUGUGACUGUGAUGGCAAAGCCUGGUGCCGCCCUCAGGGACCAGAGGCAGGGUGGAGGAUGCACCCUGUCUGUGUGUGUGUGUGUUGCCAGGUGUGGCACACAUGUGUGCAUGUGGGCAGGAGACCCGUGAGGAUUUGGAGAGACAUCUGACUCCCAUGGACAGGGGAAGUGGGUUUGUCCCAUGUGUGUGAAGAGGACGUGGCCAUAUUUGCACGGCUGACUUUCCUUCCCCUAAGGACAAGGUGGGUGGACAGGGUGCCGAAAUGCCGACAAAAGUGAGCACAACAGGGAUGUAGAUGCUCAGGGCAGGGCGAGGUGUGCGUGACUGGGGUGGGUGCUAAUGCAGCCAUCUAUGCCUGGUAGCAUGACUCAUGCUCCAGGGGUGGGCAUGAGAGCUGUGUCAGAGACACCCGGGCCUCCCAAUUAGAGAAGCUAAAACCCAGAGCCAGCUGUAAGAGUUAAGCUUGCCUUUUUUUUUUCUUUCUUUCUUUUUUUUUUUUUUUCUUGGGUGGGCUCUGAUCCCUCAGGUGUCUGAGGUCUGGCCUCCUGCCACCCAGAGGAACUGGACUCUGUGUCUGGAAAGGGUCUGCGGCCAGGGCUGGCUAGGCCCAAGUUCCUGUGACUCAUCCCUCCCCGCAACCCUGAGUCAUACUCCAGGAAUGGGAAUACGAAAGCUUGGGAGGCCGGGCCCCUGAGGCUCUUGCCCAGACCUGGGCCUUGAACAGCAAAGGGACGCCCCAGCCAGCACACACAUCCUAUGACAAGCCAUGCUAUACACGUGCACACCCACAUCCUCUAUUGCAGACCUGUCAGGCUCAGUCACAAACUCGACAUGCCUUUGUCAUCUGGCAAAUUGCCUGCACCCUGGAGAGACCCUGUGGGCUUCCCAUAGCUUCCUGCCUGUCUUCAAUAAACUACUGGGACUGGGAAGCAGUGCCCUUGCACUAAAGGGGUAUUUGCAGCAGGAACAUGCAGUGACACGCAAUCAUCCACAAGGUCUCUAUCAGAUGCCCAAAAAACACCAGUGGCCCUGCAGUGACGCCCAGGAAACCCCAGAAGCUGGGUGGCUCAUCUGUCUGGGAAAUGAUCUAUUUGGGUUUCUAAAACUGCAGGAGGGAUGGGAGGAGUUGUAGGGCAUCAACCCCCAGGGAUGCUCAGAUGCUGUUUAGCAAGGGCCUCUUCCGCCCCUAUCACUCCAGGGACUUCUGCCCAGUCCACUCACCUGACUGUGGCACAGCCUCCCAUGCAGGUUAACACACAAACAGCCUCCCCGGAAACAAACAGAGACGGGCAGAGCAACUUCUGCCUGGAGCUGGUGGCCUGCAGUGCUUC